UAUAACGUACGUCAGCAACUAUAUCAGCAAGUGCAAAGAAAAGCAAGGAAAACGGGAGAAUACAGAGUCAUUCAGCAUAAGCUGCCCCCGCUGAAGGAUCCUUGAAAUAUGCAACACUUCUGAGAUCUCCUUGAAUUAUUAACCUCAUCUCUUACCGUGGUGGAGCUUUACAGAUCUGGAAGUACACACUGAAAGGAACACACGUACACACACACUCAGAGCGCAUUAACUCUUUGGCAUGCCUGAGCAGCCUGAAUGGAUAGAAUAGACCAUGACACACACACACACACAAGGACGCGAGCACACAAAGUGAAAAAGAAAAGCACGGAGAGUGUUAAUUUCAGUAACAUGUGGCAAAGAACGCAUGGCCAGGACGCCUCCUUCUUGCCCCGGCUCUGUCACAAAGCAAAGGCUGUAGCCGAACCUUCGCAGCUAUUUUGGCACAAAGUCAAAAAAGGCUGAUAAGCAUUUUUGGGUGAGACUCUGCUGCUUUUUCCUCGAGGAAAAACAGCUGCUACAUGCCCCGGUAUUCAAUGUUCAACAGUUCGGAGAACAUUUUAGCGAAACCCCCCCAGAGAUGCCGAUUUGUCUUGUUUAAAACGGAGAACGAAAAAAAAAAGAUAACAUAAUGUUUAGUUUGAACCAAUUUCUUGCACAGAUUUACAUGAAGCAUAAGUGAGCCUCAGAGGGAACUAGGAGAGGAGAGGAGAAAGGGGGGGGUCCCUACUAAACAGCAGGGCUGUUUCCACCAUCUUAGAUUGCAUUGAUUAUGCUUUGCUUCUCACACGCUAGAGCUCUUUCUCUCCCUGCCUGUCCCUCCCUCCCUCUUUCUGUCUGUUCUGCCACCUUCUCCACUCCGCGAUCAGCAUUUGGCUUUUUCCAUUUGAGGCAGAUUACUGUAACGCUAUUGUACAACAACUUCCUGCCUCUUUUGGCUCUGGUUCUAAAAAACUGCAAAAGGCAGACCUCGUGGCUUUAACUUUUUCCCCCCUCGGCCUUGAACCAGGAGCUCUAUAAGGGAAGAAAAGGAGGAAGGAGAUAUGUAAAGUGUAUUUAUUACUGAGGAGCUAUUUUUUUUUCUCUCUUUUUUUAAAAAAAAAUUCAUUUCUGCUUUAUAAACUGCUGAGAAUUAAAGAGGGGACUUCAUGCCUAGCAAGAGACAAUGAGAAAGAGAGAAAGAGGGAGACAGAGAGGAAAAACAUAAGGUGGGGGUUAAACUUUUUCUUACGUUUUACUCUGUGAAAACUUCCUGUCGGCUUUGGAGAGCACAAAUACAUAAGCGGGGCUCGAGCUCACGGAGACUUGUUUAACAUGGCUGCUACUGCUUCAGGCUGCACAGCUUGUGAGGGCUGCUUUCACUGCACGGCCACCACCCCGUUCCUCGCCGGCUCUCUCUUCCUCACAGCAGCACAGGCUGGAUUGCACAAAAAAAACUCUUCUCCUCUCUCCGCGCACUCCUCUUUGCUAGACGGGUUUUUAGUAGAAACACAUACGGCCAAAGACAAUUAGAGAGAAAGGAGAAAAAUGCCAAUAUUAUUUAAACUAACAAAGUGCAGGAAAAGGCCGCUUUGCACUGCAAGGACCUUUGAGGGCACUCCCCAUCGAGGAGGGAACAAAGGCCAUGACCCCUGGGUCAAAAGCGUUACAUGGGAGGCCAAGCGAGCUCAUUGAAUGCUCCACUGUUGUUUGCUUUAAGAAGGAUUCUGAAAGGAGAGGAGGAAGAGAGACACAGAGAGAAAAGAGCAAAGGAGAGCUUCUCCUGGGAACAAGCUGGAAAUUAUGGACCUAUUCGAUAUCAGACCUCAGAGUGGACAACCUAUCCUAAGAGGGACGCGCCCUAACUGUAACUAACAACUACUUCUGGCAGCCCUUCAACAACCAGACAUAUUGCCCUGGAUCAGGGCCGUUUUCGAAAAGGCAGCAAUGAGCAAGGGCAGCCUAGGCAAGAAAUCAACAUCGACCUUCAGCCUCAUUAAUAUCAAUUAAUACUUUUUUCCUCUAA